rnacentral:rRNA from 1 species
UUAAGCGACUAAGUGUACACGGUGGAUGCCCUGGCAGUCAGAGGCGAUGAAGGACGUGCUAAUCUGCGAUAAGCGUCGGUAAGGUGAUAUGAACCGUUAUAACCGGCGAUUUCCGAAUGGGGAAACCCAGUGUGUUUCGACACACUAUCAUUAACUGAAUCCAUAGGUUAAUGAGGCGAACCGGGGGAACUGAAACAUCUAAGUACCCCGAGGAAAAGAAAUCAACCGAGAUUCCCCCAGUAGCGGCGAGCGAACGGGGAGCAGCCCAGAGCCUGAAUCAGUGUGUGUGUUAGUGGAAGCGUCUGGAAAGGCGCGCGAUACAGGGUGACAGCCCCGUACACAAAAAUGCACAUGCUGUGAGCUCGAUGAGUAGGGCGGGACACGUGGUAUCCUGUCUGAAUAUGGGGGGACCAUCCUCCAAGGCUAAAUACUCCUGACUGACCGAUAGUGAACCAGUACCGUGAGGGAAAGGCGAAAAGAACCCCGGCGAGGGGAGUGAAAAAGAACCUGAAACCGUGUACGUACAAGCAGUGGGAGCCUCUUUAUGGGGUGACUGCGUACCUUUUGUAUAAUGGGUCAGCGACUUAUAUUCUGUAGCAAGGUUAACCGAAUAGGGGAGCCGAAGGGAAACCGAGUCUUAACUGGGCGUUAAGUUGCAGGGUAUAGACCCGAAACCCGGUGAUCUAGCCAUGGGCAGGUUGAAGGUUGGGUAACACUAACUGGAGGACCGAACCGACUAAUGUUGAAAAAUUAGCGGAUGACUUGUGGCUGGGGGUGAAAGGCCAAUCAAACCGGGAGAUAGCUGGUUCUCCCCGAAAGCUAUUUAGGUAGCGCCUCGUGAAUUCAUCUCCGGGGGUAGAGCACUGUUUCGGCAAGGGGGUCAUCCCGACUUACCAACCCGAUGCAAACUGCGAAUACCGGAGAAUGUUAUCACGGGAGACACACGGCGGGUGCUAACGUCCGUCGUGAAGAGGGAAACAACCCAGACCGCCAGCUAAGGUCCCAAAGUCAUGGUUAAGUGGGAAACGAUGUGGGAAGGCCCAGACAGCCAGGAUGUUGGCUUAGAAGCAGCCAUCAUUUAAAGAAAGCGUAAUAGCUCACUGGUCGAGUCGGCCUGCGCGGAAGAUGUAACGGGGCUAAACCAUGCACCGAAGCUGCGGCAGCGACGCUUAUGCGUUGUUGGGUAGGGGAGCGUUCUGUAAGCCUGUGAAGGUGUGCUGUGAGGCAUGCUGGAGGUAUCAGAAGUGCGAAUGCUGACAUAAGUAACGAUAAAGCGGGUGAAAAGCCCGCUCGCCGGAAGACCAAGGGUUCCUGUCCAACGUUAAUCGGGGCAGGGUGAGUCGACCCCUAAGGCGAGGCCGAAAGGCGUAGUCGAUGGGAAACAGGUUAAUAUUCCUGUACUUGGUGUUACUGCGAAGGGGGGACGGAGAAGGCUAUGUUGGCCGGGCGACGGUUGUCCCGGUUUAAGCGUGUAGGCUGAUUUUCCAGGCAAAUCCGGAAAAUCAAGGCUGAGGCGUGAUGACGAGGCACUACGGUGCUGAAGCAACAAAUGCCCUGCUUCCAGGAAAAGCCUCUAAGCAUCAGGUAACAUCAAAUCGUACCCCAAACCGACACAGGUGGUCAGGUAGAGAAUACCAAGGCGCUUGAGAGAACUCGGGUGAAGGAACUAGGCAAAAUGGUGCCGUAACUUCGGGAGAAGGCACGCUGAUAUGUAGGUGAAGUCCCUCGCGGAUGGAGCUGAAAUCAGUCGAAGAUACCAGCUGGCUGCAACUGUUUAUUAAAAACACAGCACUGUGCAAACACGAAAGUGGACGUAUACGGUGUGACGCCUGCCCGGUGCCGGAAGGUUAAUUGAUGGGGUCAGCGCAAGCGAAGCUCUUGAUCGAAGCCCCGGUAAACGGCGGCCGUAACUAUAACGGUCCUAAGGUAGCGAAAUUCCUUGUCGGGUAAGUUCCGACCUGCACGAAUGGCGUAAUGAUGGCCAGGCUGUCUCCACCCGAGACUCAGUGAAAUUGAACUCGCUGUGAAGAUGCAGUGUACCCGCGGCAAGACGGAAAGACCCCGUGAACCUUUACUAUAGCUUGACACUGAACAUUGAGCCUUGAUGUGUAGGAUAGGUGGGAGGCUUUGAAGUGUGGACGCCAGUCUGCAUGGAGCCGGCCUUGAAAUACCACCCUUUAAUGUUUGAUGUUCUAACGUGGACCCGUAAUCCGGGUUGCGGACAGUGUCUGGUGGGUAGUUUGACUGGGGCGGUCUCCUCCUAAAGAGUAACGGAGGAGCACGAAGGUUGGCUAAUCCUGGUCGGACAUCAGGAGGUUAGUGCAAUGGCAUAAGCCAGCUUGACUGCGAGCGUGACGGCGCGAGCAGGUGCGAAAGCAGGUCAUAGUGAUCCGGUGGUUCUGAAUGGAAGGGCCAUCGCUCAACGGAUAAAAGGUACUCCGGGGAUAACAGGCUGAUACCGCCCAAGAGUUCAUAUCGACGGCGGUGUUUGGCACCUCGAUGUCGGCUCAUCACAUCCUGGGGCUGAAGUAGGUCCCAAGGGUAUGGCUGUUCGCCAUUUAAAGUGGUACGCGAGCUGGGUUUAGAACGUCGUGAGACAGUUCGGUCCCUAUCUGCCGUGGGCGCUGGAGAACUGAGGGGGGCUGCUCCUAGUACGAGAGGACCGGAGUGGACGCAUCACUGGUGUUCGGGUUGUCAUGCCAAUGGCACUGCCCGGUAGCUAAAUGCGGAAGAGAUAAGUGCUGAAAGCAUCUAAGCACGAAACUUGCCCCGAGAUGAGUUCUCCCUGACCCUUUAAGGGUCCUGAAGGAACGUUGAAGACGACGACGUUGAUAGGCCGGGUGUGUAAGCGCAGCGAUGCGUUGAGCUAACCGGUACUAAUGAACCGUGAGGCUUAACCUU